rnacentral:rRNA from 1 species
UCGACCGGCGCACGGGUGAGUAACGCGUAUCCAACCUGCCUCUGACUGAGGGAUAACCCGUCGAAAGUCGGCCUAAUACCUCAUGGUAUCGUCUGCGGGCAUCCAACGACGAUUAAAGAUUUCAUCGGUCAGGGAUGGGGAUGCGUCUGAUUAGCUUGUUGGCGGGGUAACGGCCCACCAAGGCUACGAUCAGUAGGGGUUCUGAGAGGAAGGUCCCCCACAUUGGAACUGAGACACGGUCCAAACUCCUACGGGAGGCAGCAGUGAGGAAUAUUGGUCAAUGGGCGAGAGCCUGAACCAGCCAAGUAGCGUGCAGGAAGACGGCCCUAUGGGUCGUAAACUGCUUUUAUGCGGGGAUAAAGUGAGGGACGUGUCCCUCAUUGCAGGUACCGCAUGAAUAAGGACCGGCUAAUUCCGUGCCAGCAGCCGCGGUAAUACGGAAGGUCCUGGCGUUAUCCGGAUUUAUUGGGUUUAAAGGGAGCGUAGGCCGUGGAUUAAGCGUGUUGUGAAAUGCAGGUGCUCAACGUCUGCACUGCAGCGCGAACUGGUCCACUUGAGUGUGCGCAACGCAGGCGGAAUUCGUCGUGUAGCGGUGAAAUGCUUAGAUAUGACGAAGAACUCCGAUUGCGAAGGCAGCCUGC